rnacentral:rRNA from 1 species
GACGAACGCUGGCGGCGUGCUUAACACAUGCAAGUCGAGCGGAGCGGCGAACGGGUGAGUAACGCGGGAGUAACUGCCCACCUCUCUGGGAGAACAGUUGGAAACGGCUGCUAAUACCGGAUAGUGGGGGAUGACUCGGGUCCUAUCAGAUGGUUGGUGGGGUAGUGGCCUACCAAGGCGACGAAGGGUAGCCGGCCUGAGAGGGUGAACGGCCACAUUGGACUGAGAAACGGUCCAAACUCCUACGUGAGGCAGCAGUGGGGAAUAUUGCACAAUGGGGGGAGCCCUGAUGCAGCAACGCCGCGUGCGGGAGGACGGCUUUCGGGUUGUAAACCGCUUUCAGCCAUGACGCGGUAGUGGCAGAAGAAGCACCGGCUAACUACGUGCCAGCAGCCGCGGUAAUUC